AGCCAAGAAGGCCAGCAGGAUCCCAGGGUGCAUUAAAAAGAGAGUAGGCCGGUAGGUUGAGGGAUAUUAUCCUCCUCCUCUACUCUGACCUGGUGAGGCCACAUUUAGACUGCUGUGUCCAGUUCUGGGCUCUCCAGUUCAAAAAAGUCAGGGAUCUCCUGAAAGCAGUCCAGAGAAGGGCCACAAAGAUGAUGCAGGGCCUGGAGCAUCUCCUGGUGGAGGAAAGGCUGGCUAACCUGGGUCUGUUCAGCCUGGGGAAAAGAAGACUGAGGGGUAGAUCUGAUAAAUGUUUAUAAAUUUAUAAAGGGAGGAGGGAGGCAAACGGAUGAGGCCAGGCUCUUUUUGGUAGCGUGCAGUGAUAGGACAAGGAGACCUGAAACUUGAACAUAGGAAGUUCUGUACUAACAUGCAGAAGAACUUCCUUACAGUAAUGCUGACAGACCACUGGAACAGGCUGCCCAGAGAGGCUGUGGAGUCUCCUUCUCUGCAGAUAUUCAAGACCUGUCUGGAUGCCUACCUGUGCAAAAUAUUGUAGAGAACCUGCUUUAGCAGGAGGUUUGGACUCGAUGAUCUCUUGAGGUCCCUUCCAACCCCCGCAGUUUUGUGAUUCUGUUAUCUGUAAUCCAAUAUCCACAGUCCCAGCAAGGGCAGCUCUGCUUGUCUGGUGUCCCAUGAGUCUCUAGGGACAGAAGCUGGGAGCAGAUAGUAUCCACCAUAUAGGCUGUGGUGAGAAGAGGUAAGCCUUGUGGGAGAGCAUCCCGCUCCAGGCUGAAUCUGUCUUGGGAUAGCUCUCAGAGAAGAAGCUGGGGACAUAUCCAGCAGCCCAAGCCCAUAGCCUCUUCUGAAGACCUCCAAUCCUCUACUGUGGCCAGGGACAGCCCCAUUCACUUCAUCCAGGCUGCCUCUGACAGGCUGCAAGGCAAACCAUCUUGCAACCCUGCCUGCACAGGGCACAUGGGGGCUGUUAGCUUGAAUAACUCUCUCAGAGCUGUAAAAUAAAAUGCACAUUGCUCUUGGAAGACAUAAAGAUGCUGUGUUGGAUGCAGUUUGUAGGAAUUUAGCUCAUUGCUAACAAGAGCUAGGAAGAGAUGACGGGUGCCCAGCUCCUCAAUUUAUAAACUGGAUCCCUUUAAUGAGGCCAUAUUUUUGUGCAAGCAUGCAAAAAUAAAUUGAGGUUGAUUUAGGUUUGUUUUUGUUGUUGUUGUUUGUUUGUUUGUUUUAAUUUUUAAAAGGCAGCUGCAGAUGGGAGGCACUUCCCAGCUGAAAACACAUGAUGGGUUUCCAUAGCACUGUGACACCUCCCUACAGCCGAAGCCUGCCUUCCAGGUUUGGGGAUGAUUUGCUUGGCUGCCCAGUGCUGCAAAGCACAGCAUGACCAGGAAGCUGGCGUGGGGCCAGGGGCAAUGAGGGCUCUUCCCGAGCUGCUGGGCGCUGAGCCUCUGUGACGAGAUUCCUGCGGGGCCAUAGCUGGCUUUGCCUUAAUCCUGGCUCCGGCUCGGAUGUUCUGUUCAUAAGCCGCUUUGUGUGGCAGAGCUGAAACCCUGAAAUCUGGAGCUGCCUGCUGCCACUCUGCCCAUCUCACCAUGUGGCCCUGCUGUGAGCCUUGCCUGGAUUUUGCUGAACUCUGACAUUUCACUUGCACUUUUGGUAAUGAUAUUGCUGAGCAUCACUAUAUUUGGGUACCUUGGGCAUGAUGCCAGCAGGGAAAAGCCUAGUGCACCGAGCAGUAACUGGCUUCCCCCUCCUCUUGGAUGGCUCCAAACUUGGGGACAGGGCUCAGUGAGGCACGGGCGUGUGUGCAGCUGUACACCAGUCACGAGGGCACUGCGGUGAACCACAGCUCAGCGGGAAGUUAUCUUUUGGGCACAGGGUUCCUGCCAAACCCAAUGGCACCUCCUCAUUCACCUGUGCUGCUGCUGAAACGUCCUUCCUUUCUCAGUGCUAUCGCCCUGCAGAUCUCUGCACCAGGGUACUGUGCACAUCAUGAUCUUUACAACAGAGCACGCCCUGCUGCAGUGCUGAGCUCUCAUUUCCCCAGUGUAUUUUGGGUUGUGGAAGUGAUGCUUACGGCAUGCAUACAGAGCCCUGGGCAGAUUUGGCCAUCCUCUGCCUUUUUUCAUCCCAGACGGGGUGAAAAAGAAAUGCUAGCAAGUGAUGCUCAGUGAGUGCUGGGAUCUCAUAUAUGGGGCACUGGGGCAAAGGAGGAGGAGGUGAACUCAAACCAUUUCCUUCACCGCCUUGGCCAUAUGGAGAAGAUCCCAAGUUCAGCACCCCAAGUCCUAGCUACUGGGUGAGUGAUGGACAUGCAUGUGGCCAUUCCCUAUGGUGGGAGAAGGAAUGUGAUACGUGUAUUAUAUUCUGUCCUUUUGCUCAAAACUACCUAAAAAUACAUGCUUGAAGUUUUCUCAUGGUACCUUUCCUCUCUCCCUACUUGCCUGUAAGUAUUACUUUUUAAUUUGCCCAGUAAGAAAAUGAUCCAUUCCCGCAUGGAACUUUUUUAGAAUUUUUUUUAGAAAAUGCAUUGUUUCUUGCUUUUGGUUUUCUGUGGAGGUUAUAAUAGUGGUUGAAAAUCCCAAGCCAUAUCCACCCACACAAAGUGAGUAGAAGUCUUUUGGUGACAGGGUAUUGCUCCUGGCCUUGGCACCAUGGGUGACUGUUGAAGGGGUACAGUACACAGCUCAUGUCCUGAUGAGAAAAGCUGAUAUGUGGCAUCACGCCAUGCCCAGAUUUUAUGCGCCCACCUAUGCAUGCAGAUGAGCAAAGCAUACCUCCCAAACCCACGGGUGUUAAAGAAAUCCCUGCUAGGAGGAGACCAGAGGGUUAAUUCUGGCUUGAUCUCACUCACUCUUUGAAUAAUGAAAUUAGCUGUUCUGGAGUCUCAUAGAGGGCCGAGUCUAGUUUUCUUGCACAACAAUAUUCACCGUGCUCUUGAUGCAAAUGCACUUAUGGUGAACUUUGAGCUACACAUCUGCUAUAAAGAAGUAACUCUUAUUCCCAGUUGAGCACUGCUAGCACAAGAGCCAGGCUCCUUCUGUGUCUGAGUGUAUUUUUGCUAGCUGCACUUAAGUCCAAAAAGCAGAGCAGAAGGGUAGUUGCAAACCUCACUGAAAAGCACUGACAGCCUUAUUUGUGUUUGCUGGCUGAGAGAGAGCCAGGGAUGAGCUCUGUGAAAGGCAAAUGUGUGGCUGAUCCACAGCCCACAGCUGGCAAAACUUCUUAAAUCCACGCAGCGGCUUCCAACCAGCCAUGGCUACAGGGAGUUUCACUGGGUGCUUUUGCUCCUUGCUUCUGGGUUGGUAAGGAGAGAUGGCCUUGAGAGCUACGCUUUGUGAAAGGAUUUGUUCCCUGUGGGUGUUGCAUUUCCUAGCUGCUUCCCAAAACCCUGCUGGGGUGGGGUCUUCCCUCCACAGCCGAGGAUGCUGCAGGCUGGUUGUGGGGAGAUCAUGAUAAAACCAGAAGGGAAACCUGGAGUCCGACUCACUACUCACUUUGAAUACUCAUCCUUGAGUUCUUCAUGUCCCUGUCAAACAGGGAUUGAAGAAUGGAACUCUGUGGGAACGGUGCCUGGCAUUUUACAGAGCUGCUUGGAGCAUUGCAGACCCAAUGGGAAGCAGGGGGCCUCUCACCAUUAUUUGUUUUCAUUGCAGUGGCUCAUCUAAUCCUGCCCUGGUAGUGGUCAUGUUGACAGAUGGCUGUGCAGGCUGCUGAAAUAAAGCCAUAGAGCAGUGUUACUUCUUGGGUGACUUCCGAUGCUGCAUUUCAUCCCUUUACUGGUGGUUUUAAGAAAGCAAAAGGCAUUGACACAAGGGAAAGACAUAAAAAGGCAUAUGGAUUCAUUGCUCAGCCUAAGGGUACUGUGGGCCACGUAGCUGCAGAGGCUCUGAUAGGGCUGGAUCCAGUCUGAAGCAGUAAGAAGGAGCUAUAUUUGGGGGAGAAAUUGCAAUUCUAGUGGUAUCUCUGUGCCCAAACCCCCUUACCUUUACAAGCAAGGAAAGGUGGGACAAGUGUGUAGGAAGGAGACUCAAAUAGCAAAAGCUGAAGGUGAUUUGUGUGAUGCUGUCCCACUAGUUCUCAAAUGGAUGCAUCAUUUAUUAGUGUGGCAGCAGCACUGAUGGCAUCUGUUAAACCAUCACUGAUGUUGUACAUGUGGUGGCAAAGGCAGGAGAGUGGCAUAUCAUGUGUGCACUGGGGAGCCUUACCCCUAACAACUGAUGCCUAACACCAUAGCCCUAACAAGCUUUUGGCUUAUAAAUAGAUUCAUCAGCUCCCUUUCCUUCUUCUGGGAAAAUGCUGCCCCAUCCAGCAGCAUAGGCUGAGACACACCUGCACAUAUCCCAGAUGGAGAUAAGGGUGAUCGUCGGCAAGCUCUGUGAUCAUAGGCAAGUGGAGUUCCGUGCAUGCCACUGUAGGGCAGUCCAUACUGACAGUGCAGAUAGGGAUGGAGAGAUGAGUGCAAAGCAAAAAGCCUUUCAAAUAAUAAAUCCCACAGACAUCUUGGUCACCAGUGUGUGUAGAACUCAGCCUUUUCUUUUGGAAGGUGUGCGUUAUCUUCAGCAGGUGGAUAAUGCACAGGAAUCAAACAGCUAAUGAUGCUGAGCAGCUGAGGAUCUCACAUGCUUAUCCUCAAGCAUUGCCAGAGAGACAGUGCUUGUUUGAGAUGAUUCAUCUCACCUGCAGCAGCCCAACUCAUAGGGAUAAUAGAAAACCCUCCAGUAAAUUUGGUGGACCCCAAGUAGUUCCCUGAAAAGGUUCAGUAACACCUUCACUGCCAAACAGCGCUCUUCUAUGGCUUUUGAUUUGGUUUUGGACAUGGUUGGGUGUUUAUUUCAGUAAAUCAGUAUUGUGAAAGACAAUAUUAUUUGGCUGCCUUCUCCCUCCUGACUUGCAGGGCACAUGUAGCCAGGAAACAUUCAAUCAUUUUCUUCCUUUCUGCUUCUGUGUCAUGGGGACAGGUCUCCUGACAAGAGUGGGAAAGCCACAUGACAUCAAAUGUGGUCACAGCACCCCUUGUUGCUCUUUCAGGCCACAGUUGGAAGGAACACACUCACCUUGUAAAAAGCAAAGGAACAUUUAAAACAGAAGUGAAACCAAGCUCAGCUGGACAAUUCCUGAAUCAGCAUCACUGAACUUCAGAGUUUGCCCUGAUCUAACCAGGAGCUGACUGGAGAUCUCCAUAGGUCCCAUCUAGAUUGAACCUGCCUGUCCUAUGACAAAGGCAUUGCUUGCCCUGAGCCAACUCCUUGCACAACACAAUAUGUAGAAGAGGGAACCAGGGGAACUUAUCUAGCAUAAACUCUUCCUGAUACAUCAGUCCCAUGCCAUCUGCCUGUUCUUCUCAAUCUUGUCCGAUAGAAAUUGCAAACAUGGUUUAUCUGAGCAAGUCACAGGAAGAAUAACACAACCUGCAGUCUUAGUUUUUCAUAAUAUACACUACUGGGUAAAAAGUUGGAUAAGGCAGCAGGUAAAGCAUAUUAACACACAAAGUAAGGCAGAUCAGCGUUUAUAAUUCUUUUAUCAAACUUCAUUGAUUUUAUUCAACUUUGUUCAUUUUAUUAGUGUGCUUUUUUUCCUUCCUAGUCUUAUGUCCUUCUCUGAGCUGGUAGCCUAGUACUACUCUACCUGUGGGACACAGCACUAGGCUGCUCAUUGGUCUCAGUUCCAAAAGCUGAUGUGGGGACGAGUAGCCACAUUGAAAUUACAGAACUAAUCCAUAAACAUACAAACAAGUUAUGCUAAGGUGAGGCAUUUCAAGUCAAGUAAUACUAUUAUAUCAUUAGGUUUCUCACUCCAGAUCAGGAACUUUAACAUAAAACCAAGCCAAUUUUCUUCUUUUUUCUUCUUGUCAUUUAUUAGUUGUUGGUAAGGCAAGCAUUUUGUGGAGGAUACAGAAUGCCCCAUCAAAAAUCCAAGUGCAAGCUCUUACACCUGGGUUGUGGAAACUCCCACUGUCAAUACAAGCUGAAAGGAUAGAGCACAGCCCUGCUGAAAAGAUGAUGGGAGCACUAUGGAGUACUAUGGAAUACUAUGUCCAGUUGUGGAGUCCUCAGUACAGAGGAGAGAUGGACCUUUUGGAACAUGUCCAGAGAAGGGCCACAAAAGUGUUCCAAGGGAUAGAACAUUGUCCCUACAAGAACAGACUGAGAGCUAGGGCUGUUCAGCUUGGAGAAGAGAAAGUUCCAGGGACACCUGAGAGCAGCCUUUCAGUAUCUAAAGGGGGUCUGUAAGAAAGAAGAAUACAGACUCCUUAGCAGGGUCUCUGACAGGACAAGGGGAAGUGGUUUCAAACUAAAGGAGGGGAGAUUUAGACUGGAUAUAAGGAAGAAGUUUUUUGCAAUAAGAGUGAUGAGACACUGGAACAUGUUGCCCAGAGUGGUGGUGGAUGUCCCGUCCUUGGAGAUGUUCAAGGUCAGGCUGGACAGCACUCUGAGGAGUCUGAUCAAGCUGCAGAUGUCCCUGAUCAUUGCAGAAGAGUUGGACAAGAUGACCUUUAAGAGUGCCCUUCAACUCGAAAAGAUUCUAUGAUUCUGUGACCUUAAAAUGUUGAGUAAUUGUGAAACUAGGACAUCAUUCUGUUGCCAGCUCCCGAGUCUUACUUUUAACAUAACUGUCUUCAGCUUGAAUCACCAGGACACGAUAGGCCCUUUUUCAAUGCUUUAAAGAGUCCAUCAGUAUGCAGUAAUUCCCUCUUCGGCACAUGGCAAGAAAACUGCUUAAUAAUCUUCUUUCGAGAAACAAAAGAGGACAACAAUCUCGAUCCUUUAUUUUUCAGCUUAGAUCAUUAUGUCGAUGUUGAACAUGACAGCAGGGUUCUGUAAGCCCUGUGCACCCUUUGCUCUGUGGGAUUUUUACUCAGUUUGAUUAUGACAGGGGAAACGGUUUUAAGCUAGGAGAAGAAAGAUUUAUUAAAUGUUAGGAAAUUCUUUACUCAGAGAGUUGUGAAGCCCUGGCACAGGCUGUCCCAUGCUCAAGGUCGUAGUUAGAUGAGCAGCCUGAUAUGGUGGGGAGCAACCAGCACAAGGCAGACGUAUUGAGCUAAAUGAUCAUUAAGGUUUCUUCUAAUGCAAGCCAUUCUAUGACUCCAUGAUUGACUCCUUACACAACAUCAGGAGUUGCCAGCCUACCCCCAGAGAGACCUUAUGUAGUGGGAAUGCUAAGUCACGGCCUGAAACAGUGAUUGAGCACCUGGGAGGAAGGUAGGGACCUCAGGUGUGAGCAAUGAACCUGGGUGACCAGAAGGGGUGGAGCCAGGAUCCACUGCCUCCCAGAACUUGUUGAAGUGUUGGCAGUGGAGAUCUCUGCCUACCUGAGGUCUUCUGAAGGAGUUGAACAUCAGGGAGGAGUUUGUACUAUCCUGCACUGAAAUCUUCCUACCAGGAAAUUUGAGCAAUGUGGCUUUGGGCCACAUUGUUUAGAGACAGACCAUUGAGGUCCAAAGGAAGGACCCAACUUGCUUCCUGUUGCUCUCACUUCAAUCUGCUAACAGUCUGGUCCUUCUAGGACCAGCUGGUCUAGAGAAUGAAGGCUCCUGCAGACUGAGGCUCCACGGUGGUGCUGGCAGAUGAGCUUCCAGUCCUCACCUACCACAAGACUUUUUUCUCAUCCCAGUGUUAGAAGUAUCUGUUUAUUGUAGCAAAACUGAGAAGUAUUGUAAAUAUUGCCAUCUUGGGACAUCAGAAAAUUAAACAAGUCCCACGGCAUGGUCUCAAACUGUGAACUGGAAUGUGCUGUGUGAAAUCGCAUAGUGGACUGCCAAAGCCAGCCAGCUCAGAGAUGGGUGCUACAUUGGUAUUUUAACAAGCACUUUGUAUUUACCUACUGAAGAUGCUGAAUUUGGAGCCACACUUUCUUUAGAGCAACAUCCAGAGUCAGCUCUCUCACAUAAAAUUGCCAGCAGGCAUACAGAACUUUACAAAACAGGUUUAAAACAGGGAAAAAAACUGGAGCCUGUAGUUCCAUGAAUUCUGGUAUAUGACUACGCAUGGUAGCAGAAAGCAGGUGCUGGGUCUGGAAUCCUCUUUGGGGCAGCUCAGUAGAGUAGACAAAACAUGUGCAUGGUGCCACAGGUCUUCCCAAAUCAUCAUCAGUUUCUGAUUAUUUAACGCUAGAUGUUCUCUGGAGAUCUCUAAUCCUACCUGUUCCCCAAAGCAGAGAUAAAUCUGAUUAGCUGGAAUCAGCUUCUUGAGAAAAGCUUUCAAAAUGAUGGAAUCAAAGCAUUCACAUAAAUUGCCAGCUACUUUAUUGCAAAUGUAACAGAGAUCUUCAAUGCUUUAUAUUAUCCUGUUCAACUAGAGGUCAUUUUUCCUAUCAAGUUAUUAGUUGCUUUUAGUUUUAUUUUUAUUUAAUCAAGGUCCCAACUUCCAUUAACAUUCAACACCUAGUCUGUCAAAGGCUAUCUGACAACUAGUCCGGUAAUUACCACCAGGUUUUAUUUGUUCAGCCCUGGCCCUUAACCCCGGUGGCCUCCUGUCACCAUCACCCCUCCUCACCUGUCUGUGCAAACCACUGCCCACUUCUGAGACUUAAAGCCUGGAAGGUUUGUAAUAUAAACUGAAAGUUGGCUUUGCAGAGGGCAUUUUUUGUCUUGCAGAUUUGGUGGCAUGCAUGUGCAGACACCAGUAAUUUGGGCUAUUAUCUUGCAAACUUACAUACAUAUCCAGUUAAGGUAAGUUCUGAAGAGUUGCAGACUUACAAGUCUUUUCAGAAUCCAGACCUUGAAUUUAGUGGCUUUGUUUUUAAGAUUUCAUAUGUAGAUACUCAGGCAUAUAAAUAUGCACAAGAACCACCCAGGCUUCCCAGAAGCUUUGCUUCCCAUUCACACCUCCUAAAAGUAGCUGCUGGCUCAAGGGCUUGUCUGUAAAUCUGACCUGAAGGAUGGUCAGGAGGAAAGAUGCCUGUUUCAAAUUCAGUUCCUUUUCACAGUGUUUUAAGCCUAUAACAACGGGGCAGAUCCAUGCUAGCGAAACCCACUGCAAGAUGAGGUAAGAGCAGCAUUUUGCCAUGGAGAAUCAUCACUCCUUUUUCAUCAGUGCUUUUGUUUAGAUGGCUUUAGAUCUCUGAUUUAAUAGCAUAUAGUUCAUAGUGUGAGUCUCGUGUUCUUGUUUAUUCCUGGCUGAAAUCAGCAUUGAGUCACUACCGAAAUUAUUUACUUUGCUCUUGUCAAUAGAAACUAAAGGUCAAAUAAUCAGAAUGGAUAUAAUUUAGUAUCUGCUUGUAUUUUUGCUGAGAAGUAUUAAUAAAAUCAUUUGUUUGGCCAAGAAAGCUCCAUGGAAAAAAAAAAAACAACAAAGGUGUUCAUAUAAGAAUCCGGAGAAAAAUAAGCCAAGCCUCCCCCUAUCAGAAAAUACACAGCAGACUUUUUCAACCCAUUUUAAAGCUUCUUGUGUCCACUUCAUUGAUGGAGAUGCACAAGUCAGUUGGAGGAAAGCCUGCAGAGGAGACAAGGCCUCCUUGUUGGAGGAAAGGCCUGCUUUACUGUCACCACAGCUUCCCAGACAGCUUCCCAGACAGACAGCAUCAUGCUAGAUGAGCAUUGCUUGGAAUGGCUGGCUCUAGGUAUCUCAGCUAUCUAGAUAUGCAAGGAAAAGAUGAACUAAAAGAUGAACUAAAUACAUUUCCAUGCGGUUAAAACACAGAAUUGAACUUAGGGUGUUUUACUAUCUUCCCCCUCUGGAUCUGUACCUCACCAGUGAGGUUCUGCCGAGUGUAAGAUCAAUACUUAAAGCCCAUUCAUCUCCUCACAGUGAAGAGCCAAGAUUGUAUAAUCGAGUCAUUAGUGUCUGCCACGAGCAAAAAAGUCUAAAAUAAGGACCAGAGCAGGACUGGAAUGAAGCUUGAAUCACACUGGUUAAAAAAAAGAAUAGAAGAGUGGUUAAGAUCUCAUUUUUAAGUCAUCUGCUCUGAACGUCUGUGGGUUUAAAAGGGGAUAAGCUGCAACGUACUUCAAUAGCAUUGCCUGACUUCCGAUUCGUUAGCAUAUGGCUGUGAGUAAUUUCGAAACCCUCACCCCUGAAGUGGAGCCAAACUGCAGCAAGUGAAUCUCCCAGGAGACUGAGACCCUCUUCUGCUGGCAAAAUACACUGCGAAUAUAUUGCAAAACUGCAUGCAUUUCUUUGCUUAUUCAGCAGUUUGCUGCAAGAGGCUUUUAUCUUGUCAGUGUUUCUCACUGACUCAGUUCAUGAGUUAUGGGGUGUGAGAUACCCUGUAGUCUUUUUUUUUUCUUUUUUUUUCCACAAAGAAACCUAAUAACACAAGCUCUCUGAAACAGAACACCUUUUCAUACUUCCACACAAGUCUUUUUCCAUCUCUGAACUCUGGGCUUCAUCACAAAACGUUUAGCAUGAAUCAGGAUGUAAAGCAGAAAUGCACAAUGCCUUGAUCAUUAUGUCCAUCUUCACAGGGAAUUGUCUCUUUGAUUUCCUGCAUCAGAAGAACAUGAAAAUGGCUGUAUUGGCUCAAGUCCACUAAACCCAGUAUACUGUCUUGAACUGUGGCCAAAAACAUAUGGAAGGGCAUAAGAACAAGGAAAGAACACGGGGGAAUUUCAGCUGGGUGCUCUUACAGCUUCUGAGACUUUGCUCUUCAGAGGCCUUAUGAAAUUUGUUGUUUGGGCGACCAAUCAGCAACUCCUGGGCUUUCCCUGGAAGCAUGAAAGCAGCCAGCACCAUGCAUGUUGGGCAUGACGUGCAUGACAGUGAGGUGCUCCUGAGGUGCUGCAGGACCCACCACAAGGGAUGAGGAGGUGCUGGAGGCCACUAGGAGGGGUGGAGAGCAGCCCCUGACCUUGCCCCAGGCAGGGAAGGAUGGGGAGAAUAAAUAGAGCCAUACCUGUUUUCAUGAGCAUUGCUAAGGAUUAUUCAACCACAGUAGCAGUUGGAAACCUAGGAGUGGUAAGGAGGACUAGGACACUUCCAGCAGUCUUUCUAACAUUGCUUAAGUCCUGAGGAAUGAGCAUGGAGCUCCUGAAGUCUGCAAUGGCAAGGAAAAAAAAUUGGGUUGCCUUUCCAUAGAGGCAGUAAGCCAGAAUUUUGUCCUAGUUUGUGAGCUAAAAUGCAAAUACAACGAAUAUCCUUAUUUGUGUAGGAUUCCUUCUGUUUGACAUCAGGGGCAGUUCAGUUUCCAUUUCUCAGAUGGCCACAAACCUGUUAGGACCAAAAUAAUGGAGGCAGUACCAAUCCAGGGAGGGCAGGCAGUGUUUUAUAUCGAGUACUUCCUUCUAUCUAGUACUGGCCAGCAAUACAUUUUGUAGUAGAGUACUUGGUUUUAACCACUGCAUUAUUGUGCUUUUCUGGAAGCAUGCUGGGGAAUACAGUGAACUUCAGCAAAUGGAAACUGAAAUCCUAGCACUUUUUCAUUUAUUAGCCACCACUUCAUGAUUAACAGAAGACGUUUUUACAAAGAGACUUUCUGAAACCCCAAGAAAAAAUAAAUGCAGCAUGAGAAUGCUCAUUCAGCUUCAACCACACUCAACAUCUCUGCGGUCCCAGGGCUGACUGAGGCCCCCAGCAGUUCCAGUAGGGAUUCCACCCAUGAGUGCCAGCACAGCAAACCCCAUUCCCUAUGCAGGGCUCCAUCCAUUUUGUGAUGUCCUCCUCACCUAGCCACAGAGUCCUGCCCCUAGCCCCACCUAUCCUGCCACAGGUGCUUGUACAGCUGGGGGAAAGGAUUCAGCUGGGCUGAGUGCACUUCUAAGGGCCAUUACAGGAAUUUUUAAAUUAACCUUAUACCUCCCUUAAAAAAUGUAAAACAAUGUGGAAGUGCCAAGGCCAAUUGAGGGACAGCUGGUUUGCAUAAGAUAUUGGUUUGGGUUUUUUUUUCAUGUAGGAACAUAUGGACUGCAUUAGCAUUUUGGCAUGUGGCAAGAAGAGGCUAAACAUUUCUUGCUGUCACCUCCUCCUCCAGUGCCAAUGCUGAUGAUCUCUUCUGCGGGGCUGCUGGCAGGGAUGGGGUUAGGCACAGGUUUAAUUGGGCAGUUUGGAAACUUCAUGCUUGCUGGUGUACCUCAUGGACGCAAUUCUUGAGUGCUCCUGCUGCAAUGGGAUCAUCCAUCUGGGAACUGCUGGCUUCCCUGGGAAUUUGGCCAUGGGGAUGUGCUGGAAGGCAACUGGAAAGCAGGAUACAGCAGGACCUGACUCUUCUGCAGGCUACAGACUGGACCUCAGGACACUUCAAUGAAUAUAUUUUUAAAAAACUAUCACAUAUUCUGGUGCUUAUGUUGUUUAUAGGUGAGUUUUAAGUCAACGAUAAGCACAAAUUCCUUCAUAGAAUGGUUUAGAGAAAAGAGGACAUGGUCUGAAACAUUGUCCUAAAUAAAUAUAAGUUACAUGAAUGCAAAAUAAUAGAACAAUAGAAUGUAAUAAUAAUAGAAGAUUAUAAUGUUACAUUAGAAUGAGCUUGUUUACUGUCCAGGAAUUCGUAUCUUGCUGUAGAUGUGGAAUGAGUUGUGAGACAAGAGCUUACUGUUGCACGUACCUUCCCAUGAGGUCUUCAGUGGAAGACAGACAAUGCUCUGCCCGCUUGUUCACCUUCUACAUAGCAUAUCAACACAAUCCAACAUGGCCAUAGCGCAUCUCAAGGUUUAAAAACUUCACGCAGGGACCAACAUUAGACAUAAUAAACUUAAAGCAUAGAGGAGUGUAUUUCCUAAUUUUAAAAUUUAUUUAAAUUGAUGUUUAAAAAUGAAAAACAAAAUGUAUCCUUUCUAUUCGCUACUGGAUGUUUGAAGCUGUAGGCUAGACCUGGCCCAAUUCUUCUGCUGCCUGCAGGAAGAAAGAUUCUGUGAGCAGGGCAAAGGGCAAGAUCCAAUUCUGAGACCUUAUCAAAGAACAAAGGAUUUGGCUUGUAAGUUGCAAUUAAAAAGGAAGAUGUUUCCAAGAUGUCAAAAGGUUUAAAGAAUCAACAGGAAUGCAUUGUUCUUAUAUCUUGUUAACUCUCAUCUUCUACUCUUUAAUUAUGUUUUUAAAAAGAAAAGCAAGUGUGUUGGAGAACAGAGGAAUUUUUUUCCACCCGGGACCCAAACAGACAUAGAGGAUGUUCCUUUUGCAGUGAUCAGGUAUCUGCAUCACGUUGGGAAGUCCAUCACCCACGAGAAAUGGAAACAGUGGCAGCCCUCAGGAAUGAGGGCAAAACCCUCUCCGAAGUCAGGCAACAAAACCAGAUGGAAAACCGUGAAGCCAAUAAUACAUUCACUCCCAGCCUUUGGUGUCCCACCAAGCAGCAGGGAGGGCUUUUUGCGGUAAAAGAAUGGCCUGUGGUGAGACUCCACAGAGAGCCCUGCAGACACUGGCCUUAGAGCACCAAAGAGAAAUGCACCAAGGGAAGCUUUGAGGUGAUCUCCAAGGCGCAGCUGCACCAGAAGUCACCAGAGCAGUGUUUCUACCUCCAACACACAUCUGUUUGUUUUCUGUUCUUUCAAUAAGAUUUUCUGUACAGCAUGAAAACAGAAUUGGAUACACAGUAUUUAAAUAUCGACAACGGGAGUUCAAUCUCUACCUCCAUGCAAAUAAACAACUUUUAAUGUUUGUUUUAAUGUCAAGAAUCCCCUUGGCGUGUAGAUGUUCCUUCCAGGGCAGCCCUGGGGAAGGUAAUCAUUUACAAAUGAAUAUUUUUGCUUCUAUCAUGUUAUUGUUCUGCCACUGCAUUCUCACAUUCAUUGGCUGAAGGCUCUGCAUCACACCCCAGGUUGCCUGCAGGGGUUUGCAUAUUGUGGUUUAUUUGGUUCCUGCUCUAACAAGGCUGAAAACUCCCUGGUAGCUGUUUCUCUAUGUGGAAACUGUUUCUUUAAUCAAACAGAUCAUCAACAUUGAGGUCAUGACGUAGGUAUCUUUGAGAACUAUCGUGCAUGAUCGAGAUGGGUUAGAAUUAAAAUCAGGGCUUGCUAGAUCAGCAAGCUGUGACCUUGCUUCCAAGGUCAGCAGGUCACAGAAAGAAAUCAUGUCUAUCACGCAACACUAAGCAGAAUACUGCUUCAUUUAGGCAAGAAAAUUGUCUAUGUGAAACUAAAACAGUGUGUAAUGGAAACUAAGCUUGAGAUUGUUGUAUGUGUUCUCACACUAAUGUUUGACAUGCUAAUGAUUGGCGAGAAUGAAGAAGUUCUUUCCAUCAUCUGCUAUGGAUGAUUGAGGAUUUACACUAUCAGUUAUGAACACACCCUCAAGUCAGCAGAUGGAAGCUGUAAAUGGGACAAUAUUCAACAUUUCACUGGCUCAUAUAAGCAGUGUGAAAAAAAGUAUCCAAAGGACAUCCAUUUCAGGAACACUGAAAUGUGCAAAUGGUCCACUUCUAACAGCAAAGGGCAUGGGAUGGUCCUGUAGACAAAACAAGGGCAUUCACCUGUACACCAGACAGCCGAGGGAUUUCAGCAUUAGUAAAACAGCCAGCAGAGCAGAUGUUGAUGUUGACAACACAUUUCUGGCUGUUGGUCUGCUUUUAUUCUUCUAUCAAAGUCACUUUUAAUAAAAAGCUGAGCCUUCUUUCUCUCUUGCUGAAGCUCUGAAUGCCUCAUAUGGUCAAGAAACUGGGAUUCUUCACAACCAUAGACACUGCAUAAAAUUUUUGCUUGCUGUAACUCUGUCCAGAUGCUAGUACUCUGUUUACCAGUAGAAAUUAGGCACUCUCCACUUUCCAGUCUCUCCCUAAGAAAUUCAGCACUUUGACUUACAAUCUUACAAAUAAAUAAAUAAAUGGAAGAAUGGAAAGAAUGCAUACAGCUCAUAGUAUGUUAUAUGUCCUAAAUCUAGUCAAAGGGAAGCAGAGGACAGAGGUUUCUUUGGAAACAAAAGAAGUCUUUCUCCAGAUUUCAGAUAUGAAAUACCUGCAAGAGCUAAAUCUGCUAGGGGUAGUUGAUUUUAGCAAGGGGUCUGAACACAUACAUUUUUGAAAGUAUAUAUUCCCAUCUACACUUCUCCAUUGAUUUAACAAAGUAAUGAUCCUAUCCUACACAAAGAAAAAGGCUCCCAAAGUUUAGCUCUGACAGCUUGUGUUCUCUUAGAAAAUCUCUGGCAUCCAGCCAUUUCCUGCAACUGAGAGCUAACUUCAAGUUUGACAUCACAACUACAUUGGAGAAGAGCUCCAGACAUAAUCCCACAUCCUCAGGUUUGCAUGCGUGAUUGAACUCCAAAGGGAUUGCUCGAUUUGUUGUGGUUACCCGACCUAUAUGAUAAAUAUCCAUCCUGAUGAUGAACAGGAGUGCUUAUCUGGUCUUCCCUUGUGUUCAGUGACAGUUGACCAUGGCUGUAUAGACUACAGGAAGUUAGGAAGUUCCAAUCUUCAUGCCUCAAAGACCAAACACACAUGGAAAGGAGGAGGAGGAAUCCCUACUGGGAAAAGACAGUUGGAAGACGAGAGGAUGUUGCCAACAUGCAGAGGACAAGAUGAUAUACAGAGGUCCCAUCCAACCUCAAAAAUUUUGUGAAAUUUCUGCGAAAUUUUCUCAUUUUUCCCCAACUGAAAAUGUCUUCUUGUGUCUUUCUCAAGUUGAGCAUCUCCUUCCCACUAACCUCUCCACCAAAUCUUCUACAGGUUGGAUGUUCGGCAGGACAAGCAUGCAGUAAAUGCAGUUAACAAGGGAAGAAGAAUCUGAUUGAUGCAAAGAGAAACAAACCUCAGCUGGCUCAUUUCUGUCAUGGAAAGCAAGUGGCUCAAAGACACUCCAGAGUCUCUUUCUCUCUUGAACAUUGACUCAGGCUCUCACAUAAGGUACAUAUUCACCAGGGAACUCUUUGGGACUAAAUCUAUAGUAAACAAAAGCAACUGCCUGAACUGAUAACACGGUGUACAUUGCUUCUAGAAAAAGAGAAGUCAAUGACCGCUUGGUUGAAGCACAAUUCAGCACCUCCUCUGUUCUCUACAGGAAGGGAAAAAAAUGUGAACUACAAACACAAUGAGCAUGGUGUGGAAACAAAAACACAGCCCCAAGGAGUCAUACCAGUGUCUUGAAGGCAUCCUUUUACACCAAGAAUUCCUAAGCUAGAACAGGCCCUAGAAGAACUCAGUCAACUUUCUUGGGUGUUUGGGGUGUGUUGAGUUUAUUUUUAACUGCUUGGGCAGCAAAGAGGUUGGGAAUAUGGCUGCAGGUCAGCCAAGUGUGUGUAUACGACUCUUUCAAGACCAACUUAAGACUUGAGAAAAAAAAAACAGAUGAACACCAGGGAGCCACAAAAAAAAGUAGAGCAGUCAGAAGAUGGUCAGAGUUAAGUGAAGCAUCUAUCAGUAUAUGCUAAAGCAGACUACAGGAAAAAUAAGGAGAAAAACUCAGGGUAGAAACAGGAGACUUCAAGUCCAGCAGCAAUCAAUUGCAACUCACAAAGCGCAGCAGUUAGCACUACAUCUGUUAGGCAGGGCAAGGGAAGUGAUCAAAAGGAGUUUCUGAGAACCGCAAUUGAGAAGACAAGUGAGAAAGUUUCAAAAUACAGUGUCUUUCUCUGCAACGCAUUUGGCUGAAACACCACCUAGACUGGCAGAAACCACAAUUAUCUGGAAGUACUUGAAAUCUUUCUUGUGAUAAACGGUAAAUUAGAGAGAACACUGAGCUUCUGUGCAGCUAACCACACUGAGCAUGGCUGACAAACAGCAAAGCACAACUGAGAUACCACCCUGAGCACUGAUCACAGCUGGUGCAGAGGGUGUUGCUGAAGUGGCACAGAGAGAUUUGCAUGAGUAUAACCAGAGGCAACCCCGUGCAUGAGGUGAAAACCCUGUAAACAGCAACUGGGGAACACUGGCUCCAUUGAUGGAAAGGGGCAUUCUCCUUUACUUCCAAGAAAAAACAAGCAAUCAAAAGCACAUGUCUUGGGCAGCUCCUCAUGGAUGUCCUUUUGAUGUCUUUUUUGCUGCCCUUUUGCUGCCUGGAGUUAGGAAAUGAUAGCAAAAUGAAAUGAGUAUCAUUGCAUUAGAUGAGUCCUUUACUGACCCCGCGGAGCAGAAACAGAGGUGGCAGAAAGGAAUUUAUUUAAUUACCUCUGCUAUUGUAAGUAUUAGCAGCAGGUGCAAUGGCAGGAUAUAUGAUCCAGAUUUCCAGACUUGUUUGCCUCUUAUACUACAGGCCUGAAAUGCAAUUCUCUUGCUCAAAGCUUGCUGUAUGCAGUGACAAGCUAAGCUAAAUAGCAUUUUAAUUUUAAUUUUAAUUUUAAAGCAUAAUGCUAUGAAACAAAGCAGGAGAAAUGCCCUUAGGUUUCAGGAAAACACUAUCAUUGAGACAGAGAUCUCUUUGCAGAGCUUUUCUCAACAAUAGAGUGUGUUUUUCAAGAUUCUGAUUUUCUAUAGUUUCUAUAGUUUCUAUGGUCUUUUAUAUUUGCAUCAUUCAUACCUAGGGUCUUCCCCAUUUUUCUCAGGUAUUCCACAUGCUCAUUCUUAGGCAUGCUUGCAAUGAGAAACCUGGCUUCUAAAGGGAACUUGGAGAAUUCCGCCUGUGCACGCUGUCAGUGGCUGGAUAUUCUGUAUGAAGUACAAAAGAGAGCUUCCUCUCUAUGUUCUACACACAGGGAAGAACUGUGCACACCAGUGGGCUAAGGGGCUUUAGCAUUGGGACAUUUGCUUUGUCUCUUGACCUUGGCUACCCUCUUCCCAGCCACUCAAAAAUGACAUGCACAGGUAUUCAGAAAACAUGCUCAAAAAAAAAAAAGCAUACCAUGAUCGGCAAACACCAGAAUCUCUAAUUGUGGUGUCCUUUGGCUUCAUGCAAAGGUCAUGAUGGUGUGGAAAUCCCUAGGAAAACAAGUUUAUGAUGAGCUGUGCCAGAAAAGUGGGAUGCCAGGCUGGCAAGCUGGAAGUUCACCACCAAAAUUCACAGCCUCCCCAGCAGACGACUGUUUCCUCUAUUAGUACUGCUUGAAUUCAAGGCAAAGGUGUGUUUUUAUUGCCUAUGAAGAGUCACUUCCUUGGAAGCAAACAGAUGUUGUGUGGUCUUUAUUCCAGACAUCCCAAACCACGAGCUGCAAAACUGUUAUUACAGAUGUAACUUACAUUUGGCACAGAUCCCUAAUGCAGGUAUGCCACCAACUCAUCAACACCAUCAGCAUUCUCAAGCAUCAGUACUCUGUUAAUAGGCAUUUUUGGAUCAGAGUUUAAUUCUAGAAAUGAAAUAGGGGUUGAAAAAAGCUGGUGCAGAAGAGGAGUUUGACCACACUGCCCAGCUACAGAAUGCCUUGCAUGUGGAUUCAUUUGUCAAGCUGUGGUUGCUAAUAGAAGAAUAUGGAUUCAGACCUUACUAUCAGACUCCAAACUUCCAAAUAUUUGAUAACACAGACAUUUGAAAGGAAGUAUUUGUGGUUUGCUUCCUCCUCCCAUUACUUCGCUUUUUUCAAAAACAAGAAUUCACUAAAUAAAUAAGCUGUUAACUCUGAGAACUAUCAUUCACCACUAAAAAAGAGGGUUGAUGGGCGUGGAAGCAACCAGUGCUCCUCCUCUGUGACCUCCAUCCAAGACCUGCAGACAGAAUUCCCUGCUACUGGUUCUCCCACCUCUGGUCACAAGAUCAUCUUGCAGAGUUAUGGCUCACAUCUCCAAAGCAAAUUCUUGUAUUUUCACAGCUGAAAGAUCUGCACAGCAAGACUGCAAUAAUGGAGACUUCCCAGUAAAAUCAUCAUGCGCUUCUCUUGCUGAUUGCAGCCAAUCUGAGACUUCUCCUAGACACUUUCCUCCAACCACACUAAUUCAAAGGGCAUUGGUGCUCUCCUGCUAAGUUUAGGAAGCAAAUUUUGUAGAACAACGGGUCCAUUUUGGGAAAAAGAAAAAUCAUCUCUAUGUGUAGAUCAACCCCUCCAAUAGAUGUACUGUAUCCAGCAUCCCAUGACCAUGUCUUGCUCAACUGCUCCCAAAACAUCUGAAAUGACUGUGAAAGCAAGAUAAGAUCACCCGGAAGAGAGCUGUGUGUUUCUGUAUGGAACAUCAUCCCUCUAAAGAAGGUUUCCCUGCUUUGCCUGCUCCUGGGGCUAUCAUCUUGGAGCUUCACUUCCUAUCUCAGCUUGCAGAGAGAAUAAGCAACAAAGCCAGCUCAAAGACACAGACAGAAGGGUGACACAGCCAUAGCCACCAAGUUAGAGUCCUCUCUUUGGAGAGACUCCAAGGUGAGGGAUUUCCAAAGCAGCUAUAUUUUCACAGUCCUGCUGAGUGUGAACUCAGGGCACAGGGCAAAACUCUAUCCCAUUUUUUCCUGUGAACUAUCCAAAGCCUUCACUUCCAAUUGAGUUUUCUCCAAACUUGCAGGUUUCCGUACAUCUUCCACCCUCGUCACUGAAGUAGAGCUUCCCAGGAAGAUGCUGAAGAAAAAGGAAAUUUCUACAGAUCAAACCUGCAUCCAUAUCAUGCUUUCAGCAGGGGCUACUAAUGUGCACUUAUUACUGAAGAACAAACCUGUAGAUCUCCCACCCCAGAAAGCUCUAACAGGCAAUUUGCAGCUCAAGCCUAUCACCCAGUUAGAGGGUGUAUCAGCAUGAAUUUGAAUGCAUGUAUUUUCCCAAGGAUGUAUUCCCAGAAGAUCUGUCUUCAGUGGUUUCAUUCCAAAUCCCUUUGAGCCCAAGGAAGCUUUGCACCUUUGGUGCCUUGUGGCAGAAUGCUCCACAGAUCUACUCCAAACACCAUCAAGUCCUCUGUGGUGCUGCACACCUGUAGGUAUCCAGCUGUGACCUGAGUAGAGGAGAUGACAAAUUCUUCUGAUCUGUGCUGCUCCCAAGUAGCCCCAGAUGGGAUGUUCUGCAUGGUGACAGCACACGUUGGCUCACAUUGAACACAGCACCCACUGCGUACCCUGCGCCCCUUCCACUGAGGCCUCUCAGCCGGCUGCUUUCAGCCUGGAUCUAUGCAUGAGGAUUUCCUGCUCCCCAUGAAGGACGUUGCAUGUCUCACUGCUGAACUUCAGGAAGUUUCUGUUGGCUGAAUCUCCACGUUUCUCAAGGUCCCUCUGGACUGACACUGCUGAUGUCAGCCGCUCCUACCAGAUUUGCACUGUGCGCAAAAAUUGGGUGCACUUCAUCCAAGAGCAUGUGUGUGAGGUAGGGAGUAAGGAUCAGGGAAUGGGGUAGGGUGAGGGAAUAUUCAGCACAAAUUGUGGCAGAAAACUCUCAUGGCUGCCUCUGAGUUUUGCCCCAGUUUUGCCAGGUGGCGUACAGUGGUGCUGUGCCAGGUGAUGUCUGCUGUACGCCGUGUACAGAGCUGUCAGCUGCAAUAAUCAGACACAGUGUACUCAAGGAAACCUUCUGAAUAACUGCCAAGCAGGAUUUAUUACAAACUCCUCGUGCACCACUUGUAACCCUUCGAUAUACAUUGCUGUGAGGAAAAGCAACUCCCUCCCUCUAAAUCAAAAAAUGGAGAUAAUUAACACGUUUUUAUCCUACGAAGGAAUCAUGAGACUUGGAACAUGGGCUGUUGUAACCAGCUUCUUCCCAAGAGUUUGCAUGGUGUGGCUUGCCCAGUUUCAAGAUGUACUGCAGUUUUUUUUAAUAGGGAAACCUAUGCUAGUAGCAGAAGAUUUAAUGGGAAUCCCAGUGCUCUAUGAAUGUCCCAAGCCGGAGCAGCAGUCCUGCACCAGCAGCUCUCAAGGCAGAGCAGGCAGCUUUGUGGGUUAGCAAGCCCUGAGGAAAAAGCAGAGUCCUCAAAGGACUGAAAUAGCAAGCCUACUAGAAGCAGACCUGGGUUAUGCUUAGGGGUACUGAUGUGCCCAGCAGCUCCCACGGCUGUGCAAGGCAGGAGCCUGGGCCAUGUCCUGCUGCAGGAGUGACCUUUGCAAACAGAAGUGUGGCUGUGAGUCCAGCAGCGAAAGCAGGAAUGGGUCUGGCAGGGGAUAUUUUACCUUUCCUUCGCUUGCUCUCUGUCCCACAGCUUUUGUGUUUUGUUUUGUUUUGUUUUGAAGAUCAGCUGAUUCAGAGCACAACACAAAGGAACUCUCCCUCUGUUUUAAAAGCCAUCUCCAGCCCCACUUUGAGUUCAGAGUCAAAAUCUGGCAGGAGAAGUGAGAGGAGUUCCUUGCAGUUGCUUUUUGUGAAAGGUUUGGGACUUCAAAGUUACAUACCAGGGAUUCAUAGCACAUUUUGUACCUAUUUUGUUAUAAUAUACCCAUAACGAACCACUCAGGAGGACUUCUCAGCACACAUCAGGCCAAAUCAGCAGUGUGCUGGGAGACCAAGGAGCUGUGCACGCAGGCACUGUUUGGGCAGCGAGCCUGGGGCUUGCCAAAUCUCACUGGGAAGUAUUGUGGCCAUACAUGAAGACCUGCACCGAGUUUGCACCGACAUUCUAAGUCCCUCAGUCAUUCCAUUGGGAGCAGCUAUAAAUUGUAGUUCUUGUGGCAGAAAAUACUCAAACCAGAAGCUCUAGCCAGCAGUCCACAGAGAUCACGCAGUUGGCAACCUCGCCUAUGGUACAGGGGUUGGAGUUCGGUGAUCCUUGAGGUCCCUUCCAACCCAAGCCAUUCUAUGAUUCAAUGAUUCUGUGAUCACAGUGUUUCUCUGCAGUGUCAGCUGGGAAGAAGGGGUCUUUCCUGCCUUCAGUUUAGGAUUUUUUUUUUCUGUUUCUAUGCUUGCAUGUGGAUCUUGCGUCAUUAAAUACAGAGCUGUAGAUUUAUCAGCUGCUUUGUUCUGUGCAAGUAAUUCACUCUGUUUGCAGCUCAGCCUCAUCCUGCAGUUAAACUCACGUGCUUUGGUCUGUCAUGCCAGCAUGGUCUAAUUCCACAGAUCACAAAAAUAAUAUUCCAAGUCUAAUCCCAAAGAAAGGAUUACUGGGGAUCAAAUCCAUUAUUUCACAAUAAAUCCCUUUUAUGUCCAUUUUUUUUAAUCAGUGAUCAAAGCAAGUGGAUUUCAGUUCUAAAAGCACUGCUGCCACACAACAGAGGAGAUCCUUGCCCUCGUGUAUGUCUCAACAUUUACUUUCAUUUUUUUUGCACAGUAUCAAGGGAGAUGUAUUUUUUCCUCUUGCCAAAAAUAACGUCUGGUCCAGAUACUCAGCUGCAGCCGAGAGCUCUGGGAGAGAAAGAGCUGCCACUCGUUUUGCAGCAUCCUAAUCGUAUGGGCCGUUUCUAACUUUCUUAGUUGUCUGCAGUCCCACCUCCGCCGUUCCUACAUUCGGGAGUCUGAACCAAACAGCCAAAAUCCUUUUCAGCAAAGGGCAAUUCAGAGACUACCCUAGGGUUUUCAUUUCUAAACAUGAGGCAGGAUCCAGCUCACCUAUUCCAAUUUCAUUGCUAUUUCCAUAGCUUGCUGUGAGAAGCUAAGCUCACCAUGCUAGAGACUCGCGUUUCCCCUGCCCAGGGCUGGGACAGUGCAGAUUCAAUUCCUCACAUGGAUGGGCAAGUUGGAGAGUUACUACAACAGAGACAGGGCCAUCAGCUGCAAUCUUGGACCCCACAGCCUUGCUAGAGGAAGUGAUAAGGUGGGAAGGUCCCAAAACAUGGAAUUAGAGUGCUCUUCAGCACAGGACUGCCACUACUCCAUGUAUCACAGCUACUGCAAGGCAGACAAGGCACCAGCCUUGACAGUGUGCUACAUAUAAAUAGUAUGAGCCUAUCUGGGUAAAACAGAUUGUGUGUCAUCAUUACUGUGAAGUCGCGCUCUUUAUGGUUCCUCCGCUAACCAAACCAUAUUUUUAGUCCUAAUCUCAAUCUGCUUGAAUUAGCUCUCCUAAAAUGAACAGAAUGAUACAGGUCAGAUCAAUUAUUAAGAAAAAUUCAAUUACGAUAGUGCCAUAUGCAGCACUAUAAAAAGAACGCAGCUGUACAUAUGGCUGGUGAAAGCAACAGCAGUUAGUGGCACGAAUGUCCACGACACUGCGAUGUCCUUUAGUCCUUCACUGCUUUCCACGCUGGCCAUGCUGAGAGGAGACAAAGUGCCUACACUUGUCCUUUUCAGAAGAUUCACCAGCUCGCAAACGUCCCACUUUGGCCCACAUCCCUGACCCUCCCCCCCCCAAAUAAAAACAAAAGUAAUCUCUUGGAGGCUGCACGAAGCACUGAGAGCUCCUUUUAGGAGGUGGAGAUGAUCUUGCUUAUUUCACAAGUUUCCAUCAAAACAAACAAACAAAAAAGAGUUGUCCAACAUUCAUCUAAAGAAAAGAGUGGUUUUGUUUCCCUGCAGAAGCUUGUAACUACAAGACCCUAAUUCCUUACACGAGUAGCCUCUUAAUGGGAGGGCAAAGUGCAUAGGCUGUCAGAUGUGCAGGUUGAGCCAAAAGGGCACCGGUAUGUGCAGGGAUGGGACUUGAACAUCUGAGAACAUAAGCUCAGAGAAACACUGCAUGGGGUGGGGGUGAACCCCUUAUCCCAGAACCAGGGGUGAAUUUCUCCUCAUCUCAGAUGCAGCACUGAAACAAAGUACAUCAGGCAAAGUCCUGAACAAAAAAACACCACCACAACAACAAAACAGAGAACUUUUUUGGCCUUGCAGGAACCAAGGAGAUCCCAGGCAUCCCAGAAAAAAAUGGGAAGAGGAGGAAGUUCUUGUUGUGCCCUGGAAAGAGCAGAUCUGGCCAAGAAUGUGCAACUGACUCCCUUUGCGUUGUGAUCACCUGCAGAUCUCGAAAGUGCUUCUAGAGAGAAACACUGCUUCCCAGCUUUCAUUUAAUGAAAAAAGAAGCAAGCAGCAUUAACACAUGAAGCAAAAUCCUCUGAGAUGUUCCCAUCAGCUCAACACACACAAAAAAAAACUUCAGCGGAUUGAGCAGUGUUCAAAAAUACAUCCAAAGGAUGCUCUUCCACAUCAAACAGCACUGGCGUGCUCUUGCACAGGCUUCCAGAUGGUCCAUCUUUGGAGCCUUUUCUUUUAAGCGGAUAGCCUGAGGCACAACAGGACCAUAUCACUGCUUUAUUUAGAGCACAGAAAAUAAAAAGUCCUCCUUAGCAAAAAGAAAUUAUUUUUCUAAAAAUAAAGAUCAGUUUUCUCAGA